GAGUGAACGCUGGCGGAAGGCCUAACACAUGCAAGUCGAACGGCAGCACAGUAAGAGCUUGCUCUUACGGGUGGCGAGUGGCGGACGGGUGAGGAAUACAUCGGAAUCUACUUUUUCGUGGGGGAUAACGUAGGGAAACUUACGCUAAUACCGCAUACGACCUACGGGUGAAAGCAGGGGAUCUUCGGACCUUGCGCGAUUGAAUGAGCCGAUGUCGGAUUAGCUAGUUGGCGGGGUAAAGGCCCACCAAGGCGACGAUCCGUAGCUGGUCUGAGAGGAUGAUCAGCCACACUGGAACUGAGACACGGUCCAGACUCCUACGGGAGGCAGCAGUGGGGAAUAUUGGACAAUGGGCGCAAGCCUGAUCCAGCCAUACCGCGUGGGUGAAGAAGGCCUUCGGGUUGUAAAGCCCUUUUGUUGGGAAAGAAAAGCAGCAGGUUAAUACCCCGCUGUUCUGACGGUACCCAAAGAAUAAGCACCGGCUAACUUCGUG
rnacentral:rRNA from 1 species